GACCCUUACAACAGCCUGAUGUUACUUUCUGCUUUCUCAUUGUCUGUCUCCCCUCCCCCACUAUAAUGUGUCAGGAGAGCCCAGAUCCAAGGUACCCUCAAUGCCUAUCAACAUUUGGUGCACAAGAGGCCCUCCACUGACAGCGGCUGCGCGCACGUUCAGAUGCCCAGACCGCUGUAGGGUUUCCUUCUGGGGCCACUGCUUGGCUUAGAGUUGAGAAGUGAGCCUUCCCAGGGGCUGACACAGUCCCCAGACGAAAACGAAAGACCUCGAGCCUUGCGCAAAUGAAGCAGGAAGAUGAAGCCCAGAUGAAGCUGGAAGAGACAGGAGACGGGAUCCCGAGACACAGACCCGAGGUACAUCAGGAGAACCACCUUGGGGAGGACAGACGAAGAAAAAGGAGAAAAGAGAAACUGUGCAUUGGCCGGGAAUCGAACCCGGGCCUCCCGCGUGGCAGGCGAGAAUUCUACCACUGAACCACCAAUGCAGGCGGUGUGGUGUUUUCAUCAGAUCCUAUCUCAGCUCACAUGGAGUUGAGCCGACCUUGGCCCGGAAAACGGUGUAGUCAGGGAUUCAGCAAAGACUCUCGAUAGUUGACGUGGGUGGAGCCCAGGCCAUCCUUCUUCCCGCCUGGAUCCGGUCACUCGGCCAUAAAGUCACCCCAUAUGGCCAGGGGCGGCCCCACACCCGGGUGCGAACUGCCCGGGCCCCCGAGCCUCGCGUGCAGGUGAGAAAAACUCAGCCCGAGCCCAGGUUCCCAAGGAGGGGGGCAGCGGGGGACUUCUGGGGCCACACAUCUGCGCUUCCAUUUGGCUCAGGUAGGGGGAGGUGUGAUGUGCUGGGCUCCCUGGUUCCAAAUGGGAGCGCCCUCCCCAAGGUCUGGGUCCAUCCGGCUGGGAUUUUGGCAAGGCAGGCUCCGUGAAAAAACAAGCUGUGGUCGGGCACUGAACCCCAUCCAUCCCUGACUCUGAAGCUAUCUACAACCCUGUCUUACUGUGUCCUUGUCCCUGGAAUUCUUGUUGUCCCAUUUAAUCAUCGGUUUUAUCUUCUCAAGCACUUUGUCCUGAAGUUUCCAAGAUGUGCACGCAUCAUUUUGCUGAGGGUCAUGCUCUUAGUAUGAGGUGGGUGUUGAUUCCUUUUUUUGGGUUUCCUUUCUUGUCUUUUUAAGAAAACUGUCUGCUCCUUGCUCCCCUGUAAUCACGUGGGGUCUCCAGGAGCAAGCAACCAGAGCACACUUGUGUCAGGUGUCCUGGCAGCCAUACGCCUGAAUCUCCUGUAAUUACUUUUGAAGCAAAUAUUUCUAUCUGGAAAGAUCUCUCCGCCUCCGAACUGUGCUUGAAAUCCCUGGAGGCUCUCCCGCAGCCACCUCCAGCCCAGUCCAGCCAUUUCUCAGGAUGACCCUUUCUCUGAGGACCUAUUCACUGUGCUUUUAAAAUAGCUGCUUGAUAACACAUUGCCUUUUCCACUAUCCUGCAG
rnacentral:tRNA from 1 species